CUAAAUCAGGAUACUUUGCAGCUAUACAGAUGGGACAUUCAUGGAGCCAGACUUACCCUUUCAAAGUAUCUCCUUACAAAAUAUUUAGAUGUGUGGGGAGCUGAAAGAAAAAAAUUUUUAAGAAGCGAACUCCCUACUAGCAAAGUUGCACAUGAUCCCCUAACCACACAAGACUCAGCUCUAACAAUUCAAAAUCACCAAGUAUGAUGCACUUGGAUGCAUACAAGACUAGCUGAAACACCUGGUUCUAGUUCCAACCUUGACUGGUUUUAGUCCCAACCUAGUCCUCACUUUGCUAUGAGACCAUAGGCAAUGCAUUCUCUUCAUUUGUAAAAUGAAGGGAUUAAAGUAUAUUAUGUAAAUGUCCUCACAUAGUGUGAGUCUAUGAUCUUACCAUUCUGAGAAGGAAUCAUUUUCCGAUAGGCCUCCCAACCCUUAUCCAGAGAAGAUUUUCUAGGCUUUGCCACUGGGGCAGUUUGUCUCAUUUUGACUCCAGGACCUACCUGAUUCAUAUGCACUUGGUACAUUUACUAAACAGUGAUGGAGGUACAGAGUAAAGCCUUCAAGAUCAUGCAGAGACAGUACUAGAAGGUAGGAAAGAAGGGCAAGUGAGGAGAUUGUACUUAAGAUGACACUUCCUUAUCCCGAGUUUCCCAUUUUGGGCCAUAGGUAAGGAGGUAUACUCGUCUGUAAGUAGAAAACUCCUGUUCAGUGAGAAUGACUCAGAUGAAUGCCCUGCCAAGUAGAGAACCAUUCAUUUCUUUUGAGGGACAGAAU
rnacentral:lncRNA from 1 species